AUUGAACGCUGGCGGCAGGCCUAACACAUGCAAGUCGAACGGUAACAGGAAGCAGCUUGCUGCUUCGCUGACGAGUGGCGGACGGGUGAGUAAUGUCUGGGAAGCUGCCUGAUGGAGGGGGAUAACUACUGGAAACGGUAGCUAAUACCGCAUAAUGUCGCAAGCCCAAAGAGGGGGACCUUCGGGCCUCUUGCCAUCGGAUGUGCCCAGAUGGGAUUAGCUUGUUGGUGGGGUAACGGCUCACCAAGGCGACGAUCCCUAGCUGGUCUGAGAGGAUGACCAGCCACACUGGAACUGAGACACGGUCCAGACUCCUACGGGAGGCAGCAGUGGGGAAUAUUGCACAAUGGGCGCAAGCCUGAUGCAGCCAUGCCGCGUGUAUGAAGAAGGCCUUCGGGUUGCAAAGUACUUUCAGCGGGGAGGAAGGGAGUAAAGUUAAUACCUUUGCUCAUUGACGUUACCCGCAGAAGAAGCACCGGCUAACUCCGUG
rnacentral:rRNA from 1 species